UGGGGAAUCUUGGACAAUGGGGGCAACCCUGAUCCAGCCAUGCCGCGUGGGUGAAGAAGGCCUUAGGGUUGUAAAGCCCUUUCAGUCGUGACGAUGAUGACGGUAGCGACAGAAGAAGCCCCGGCUAACUCCGUGCCAGCAGCCGCGGUAAUACGGAGGGGGUUAGCGUUGUUCGGAAUUACUGGGCGUAAAGCGCACGUAGGCGGACUAGUCAGUCAGAGGUGAAAUCCCAGGGCUCAACCCUGGAACUGCCUUUGAUACUGCUAGUCUUGAGUUCGAGAGAGGUGAGUGGAAUUCCGAGUGUAGAGGUGAAAUUCGUAGAUAUUCGGAGGAACACCAGUGGCGAAGGCGGCUCACUGGCUCGAUACUGACGCUGAGGUGCGAAAGUGUGGGGAGCAAACAGGAUUAGAUACCCGUGUAGUCC
rnacentral:rRNA from 1 species